GACGAACGCUGGCGGCGUGCUUAACACAUGCAAGUCGAACGGAAAGGCCCUGCUUUUGUGGGGUGCUCGAGUGGCGAACGGGUGAGUAACACGUGAGUAACCUGCCCUUGACUUUGGGAUAACUUCAGGAAACUGGGGCUAAUACCGGAUAGGAGCUCCUGCUGCAUGGUGGGGGUUGGAAAGUUUCGGCGGUUGGGGAUGGACUCGCGGCUUAUCAGCUUGUUGGUGAGGUAGUGGCUUACCAAGGCUUUGACGGGUAGCCGGCCUGGGAGGGUGACCGGCCACAUUGGGACUGAGAUACGGCCCAGACUCCUACGUGAGGCAGAAGUGGGGAAUAUUGCACAAUGGGCGGAAGCCUGAUGCAGCAACGCCGCGUGCGGGAUGACGGCCUUCGGGUUGUAAACCGCUUUCGCCUGUGACGAAGCGUGAGUGACGGUAAUGGGUAAAGAAGCACCGGCUAACUACGUG
rnacentral:rRNA from 1 species